UCGUGGCCUUCAGCAUCAUAGUGAAAAUAAUUUUCCUUUGCUUUAGCUUUCUUUGGAACAUCCUUCUUUGGCUUGCUCUCUUUCUUCUGCUUCUUAGUAGAUUUAGUUUUCUUCUUCCAACUAGACUUUCUUUUAACCAAAGAAGUCCGCUCUACAGUGAGAACAGUGCCCCUUGAACUCUUCAAAAUUUUCUCUAUAGUGACCAACAUGUUGACCAGUUCAUGUAUAGUGCAAUCAAGUUUGUUCAUAUAAAAAUUUACAAUAAAUUGACUAUAUGGACUAGUAAGAGAUUGAAGGAUCAAAUCCAUCAGUAAUUUUUUUUGCAUAUCAAGCCCGAGCUUC
rnacentral:lncRNA from 1 species